rnacentral:rRNA from 1 species
AACGUAGGAGACAAACGUUAUCCGGAGUUACUGGGCGUAAAGGGCGUGUAGGUGGUUUUAUAAGUCUGGCGUGAAAUUUCUCGGCUUAACCGAGGCAGGUCGUCGGAUACUAUGAGACUAGAGGACGGUAGAGGCGUGUGGAAUUCCGGGUGUAGUGGUGAAAUGCGUAGAGAUCCGGAGGAACACCAGUGGCGAAGGCGACACGCUGGGCCGUACCUGACACUGAUGCGCGACAGCAUGGGGAGCAAACAGG